AUACUCCCCUGGCAGGGGAGAUACCAUGAUUAUGAACAUAGUUUUCCCAGGGCAGCAUUUUUCUAUUGCAUUCUGAAUAUGUUCACUCCUACAAUUUCCCCCAAGUGUGGGAAACUACUGCGUAAUUUGUGUUGGUAGGGGACUGUGCUCAUGCUGUCCCUGA